rnacentral:rRNA from 1 species
AUUGAACGCUGGCGGCAGGCCUAACACAUGCAAGUCGAGCGGAGCGGCGGACGCGUGCGUGAUGCUUAGGAAUCUGCAUGGUAGUGGGGGAUAAGGUCCGGAACUGGGCGCUAAUACCGCAUACUAUCACAAGAGCCUAGGCCGGAUUAGCUAGUUGGUGGGGUAAAGGCCUACCAAGGCGACGAUCCGUAACUGGUCUGAGAGGAUGAUCAGUCACACUGGAACUGAGACACGGUCCAGACUCCUACGGGAGGCAGCAGUGGGGAAUAUUGCACAAUGGGCGAAAGCCUGAUGCAGCCAUGCCGCGUGUGUGAAGAAGGUCUUCGGAUUGUAAAGCACUUUAAGUUGGGAGGCGUUACCAACAGAAGAAGCACCGGCUAACUCCGUGCCAGCAGCCGCGGUAAUUC